rnacentral:pre_miRNA from 1 species
CUCAGGGUGGAGGGGUCCCUCAGCCCGGAUUGUGAGAGGGUGCAGGCCAGGCCGAGAGACCCCACCGGGGCAUG